rnacentral:rRNA from 1 species
UACAGAGGGGGCAAGCGUUAUUCGGAAUUAUUGGGCGUAAAGAGCUCGUAGGCGGCCUGUCGCGUCGACCGUGAAAACCCGCAGCUCAACUGCGGGCUUGCGGUCGAUACGGGCAGGCUGGAGUUCGGUAGGGGAGACUGGAAUUCCUGGUGUAGCGGUGAAAUGCGCAGAUAUCAGGAGGAACACCGGUGGCGAAGGCGGGUCUCUGGGCCGAUACUGACGCUGAGGAGCGAAAGCGUGGGGAGCGAACAGG